GGUAAGAUGGCCGAGUGGUUAAGGCGAGCGGCUUAAGCGAGUGCUCUACAGCACUAUUAACAUCCCGCUUGACGAGAGUCUCGUGGGUUCGAACCCCACUCUUACCA